GCGACCCCAGGUCAGGUGGGACUACCCGCUGAGUUUAAGCAUAUCAUA
rnacentral:rRNA from 3 species